AUUGAACGCUGGCGGCAGGCUUAACACAUGCAAGUCGAACGAGUGGCGGACGGGUGAGUAAUGUAUGGGAAACUGCCUGAUGGAGGGGGAUAACUACUGGAAACGGUAGCUAAUACCGCAUACCAUCAGAUGGGCCCAGAUGGGAUUAGCUAGUUGGUGGGGUAAAGGCGCACCAAGGCGACGAUCCCUAGCUGGUAUGAGAGGACGACCCGCCACUCUGGAACUGAGACACGGUCCAUACUCCUACGGGAGGCAGCAGUGGGAAAUUUUGGACAAUGGGGGCAAGCCUGAUCCAGCCAUUCCGCGUGUAUGAAGAUGGCCUUCGGGUUGUAAAGUACUUUCAGCGGGGAGGCGUUACCCGCAGAAUAAGCACCGGGUAACUCCGUGCCAGCCGCCGCGGUAAUAC
rnacentral:rRNA from 1 species